AGAUCACUUUAUUGCGGAUUUAUUGUCAGUUUAGCGAUUAGUGAUUGGAAAAUGGGCUUUAAAUGCACCGUGUGUGUGUUAUUACGGAUUAGCAGGCUAGCGCGAGGCGGGAGUGCAGUCACACAGUCCAGCUCGGGGCUUUUCACACAUUUCUUUUUCUUUAUGAAGUGUAAAUAUUCAAUAUUGAGCCUCAGGAAUGAUGAGUUCGCGUGUAGCCGGAGUUUCUGAUCGCUAGUAAAGCUAACAGCUGUGCUCUGACUUUGCAUAACUGAGAUACACAUGUCCGCGUUCAAUCUAACUUUCAAUCUGACUUUUUUAAAAAAAAAAACAUUAUAAUUAUACACGACUUCAUGCUAUUACUUUAUUUUUUUUUAAAUCACAUGAAACAGUUUGGUAAUGAUAGUUAAACUUAAACUUAACGCUUUGAAUCAACUUCAUUGAAGACCUGCGGCUAAAUCCCAAAUCUCCUUCUUACCGCCUUAAGUAAGUGCACUCGGUGUAGUGUUCAGGGCGCAAUCCCCUCGCGCCGGAUUGAGGACGCUUUAUACAGUCGCGGACACCUGCGAGGGACUCGAACGCUCGUGCGUGUCGUUUACAAGCGAGCGCGCGCUCCGGGGUUGUCAGUGGGUUUCCACGCGCGUGCUCGCGAGGGGGGGUGUCUCACGCGCGGUCCCGCUGUCUCCGCAUAACACCGGCACACACACAAUACUGCUCUCUCUCUCUCUCUCUCUCUCUCUCUCUCUCUCUCUCUGUGUGUGUGUGUGUGUGUGUGUGUGUGUGUGAGUGUGUGAGUGUGUGAGUGUGUGAGUGUGUGAGUGUGUGAGUGUGUGAGUGUGUGAGUGUGUGAGAAAGACCCUGAAUUCUCAGCAGCACCUGAAGUGAGAUUUUAUGCAAAUGAGCUCUGAUCUCAUCCAAAUAAUUGGCGCCUGUGAAUUUGCAUGUCGUCCAAAUAUGGAAGAAAAUCCUGAACACAGCUUUAAGAUCUCAGAGAUAUAAUUACAUACAAGGGAAUGAACAGCUGGAGCGGCCACGCCCACAGGUGACAACACGGGGGUAUGUCACAGGUGUGUGUGUGUGUGUGUGUGUGUGUGUGUGUGUGUGUUUGAGACACAAAUAUACACCCGGUUCAAAUCAGUCAUAUCCUCAGUCCGAUCUGAAACUGAUAGACUCUCUGAUUUGAGUCUGUCUCUCUCUCUGUCUCUGUCUGUCUCUCUCGCACUCUUUCUCUCUCAGACUCGGAUCAAUGUGUCCAUUAGCAAGCUUAAAAAAGGACGUUCAUCUGUCUCGUGUGUGUGUGUGUGUGUGUGUGUGUGUGUGUGUGUGUGUGUGUGUGUGUGUGUUCUUAUCAGGGGGUUUGUCCUCUGGGAACAGAUUGCUUAACUUCCUGUAGGCAGAGACACACCCGUGAUGAAUGUGCAUUCAGCUGUGUGUGUGUGGGUGUGUGUGUGAGAGGGCGGGAUCAUGUUCGUCCAGCUGUUUUGGGUCUGCAUGAGCUGUAAUACAAACGUAUGUCACAUACACACACACACACACACACACACACACACUAAAGACCGUAGCUCAUGAAUAUUCAUGUUUAUUGCCUGUAUGUGUAUGUAAUCAACAGUGCAGCAUGUCAUGUAUAGAUCCAGAUGUAAUUGUAAUUAUAAAUGCAGUUAUAUAGUAUAUUGAGUGUGUGUGUGUGUGUGUGUGUGUGUGUGUGUGUGUGUGUGUGUGUGUGUGUGUGUGUGUGUGUGUGUGUGUGCGUGCGUGCGUGCGUGCGUGUGCACUAUAUAAUAUACAUUACGCUGUACAUAUGAUAUACUGUAAUAGUGUUUUAAUUGAGCCUCAUCUUUAAACAUGCUGUGCUUCAUCUUGGCAAGACUUAAUGUCCUUAAACACACACACACACACACACACACACACUGCAACAUCUCUUCACACUGUUGUUUGGCAAGCACUUCCCCUUUCGAGGGUAGUCAGUCUGAAAAUGAGCAGUUACCAUGACAACAUGCAAAGGGAUUACACUUAACAUAGCAUAACAGCACUAAACUACAUCUCUCUCUCUCGCUCUCUCUCUCUCUCGCGCUCUCUCUCUCUCUCUCUCUCUCUCUCUCUCUCUCUCUCGCUCUCUCUCUCUCUCUCUCUCUCUCUCGCUCACACACACACAGAGUUCAUUACUGUGUUCCUCUGGUGUAAUGGACCAUUGCCCGCUCACCUGAAGCAGCUAGAGAUAAAGGUGCACUGUUCAGAGAGAGAGAGAGGGAGAGAGAGAGAGAGAGGGAAAGGAUGUGUAGGGAGGGAAAACCCGGAAAACUCUGGAAACCUGAAUAGCGGGGAAAUGGGACGCGUGUUUUAUUGUGUCUUGUUAAACGGACUUGAAUAUUGGCAUGUUGUAUACUCGCACAGCAGGUGCAUGUUAAUGCUCGGACCAAUUCCUUUUAUUAUUUUAUUAUUAUUAUUAUUAUUAUUAUUAUUAUUAUUAUUAUUAUUUCCUAUCAUGUUUUUUUCACACUCGGUGUGUCAGUCUUAUGUUCUUUUUUUAAUUUACCAGUGAACAGUUUAAUUCUGGAUCUGUGUCGUAUGUGUGUAAGGGCCUCUGUGUGUGUGUGUGUGUGUGUGUGUGUGUGUGUGUGUGUGUGUGUGUGUGGCGUGUUUUCUCAGCCUGUGAAAACUGUAUCUUUGUGUUUAUUAUAAAUAUCCAUCUCAUUAAGGCUGUUUGAGUCUGAAGAGCAGCUGUAAUAAUGUACUGUUGUAACGACACAGCGCUGUGCCACUGUAUACUCUCCUCAAUAAAUAUGUUUUUACACUAUAUCUUAAA